AGUGAACGCUGGCGGCGUGCUUAACACAUGCAAGUCGAACGCGAAAGGGUAGCAAUACCCCGGUAGAGUGGCGAACGGGUGAGUAAUGUGUGGGUAAUCUGCCUUUCAGAGGGGGAUAACCCGGCGAAAGCUGGGCUAAUACCCCAUAAUGUUGCUUGGUCCUCGGACCGAGUAAUCAAAUGAUGGCCUCUAUUUAUAAGCUAUCGCUGAAAGAUGAGCCCACAUCUAUCACGCUUGUUGGUGGGGUAACGGCCCACCAGGGCGACGACGGAUAGCCGGCCUGAGAGGGUGUCCGGCCACACUGGAACUGAGAUACGGUCCAGACUCCUACGGGAGGCAGCAGUGGGGAAUUUUUCGCAAUGGGCGAAAGCCUGACGAAGCAACGCCGCGUGGAGGAUGACGGCCCUCGUGGUCUUAAACUCCUGUCUAGUGGGACGAAAGUAUCCAGGGUGAAUAAUCCUGGGUAUUGACUGUACCGCUGGAGGAAGC
rnacentral:rRNA from 1 species